AGUGAACGCUGGCGGUAGGCCUAACACAUGCAAGUCGAACGGCAGCACAGUAAGAGCUUGCUCUUACGGGUGGCGAGUGGCGGACGGGUGAGGAAUACAUCGGAAUCUACUUUUUCGUGGGGGAUAACGUAGGGAAACUUACGCUAAUACCGCAUACGACCUACGGGUGAAAGCAGGGGAUCUUCGGACCUUGCGCGAUUGAAUGAGCCGAUGUCGGAUUAGCUAGUUGGCGGGGUAAAGGCCCACCAAGGCGACGAUCCGUAGCUGGUCUGAGAGGAUGAUCAGCCACACUGGAACUGAGACACGGUCCAGACUCCACGGGAGGCAGCAGUGGGGAAUAUUGGACAAUGGGCGCAAGCCUGAUCCAGCCAUACCGCGUGGGUGAAGAAGGCCUUCGGGUUGUAAAGCCCUUUUGUUGGGAAAGAAAAGCAGCAGGUUAAUACCCCGCUGUUCUGACGGUACCCAAAGAAUAAGCACCGGCUAACUUCGUG
rnacentral:rRNA from 1 species